AUUGAACGCUGGCGGCAGGCCUAACACAUGCAAGUCGAACGAGUUGCGGACGGGUGAGUACUGUCUGGGAAACUGCCCGAUGGAGGGGGAUAACUACUGGAAACGGUAGCUAAUACCGCAUACCAUCGGAUGUGCCCAGAUGGGCUUAGCUAGUCGGGGGGUAAACGGCUCACCUAGGCGACGAUCCCUAGCUGGUCUGAGAGGAUGACCAGCCACACUGGAACUGAGAAACGGGCCAGACUCCUACGUGAGGCAGCAGUGGGGAAUAUUGCACAAUGGGCGAAAGCCUGAUGCAGCCAUGCCGCGGGUAUGAAGAAGGCCUUCGGGUUGUAAAGUACUUUCAGCGAGGAGGCGUUACUCGCAGAAGAAGCACCGGCUAACUCCGUGCCAGCAGCCGCGGUAAUAC
rnacentral:rRNA from 1 species